rnacentral:lncRNA from 1 species
AAAAUAUUAAAAUAAAAACUUUAAUUAAAUUCCAAUCAAAAUCUAGUCAAGUCUUAAUUAAAUCUUUUUCAGAUUCUUGUCAAAUCUUAGUCAAUCUCUAAAUAAGUCCUAAUCAAAUAUUAAAAAAUCCUAGUCAAAUCCUAAAUAAGUCCUAACCAAAUUCUAGACAAAUUUUAGUCAAAUUCUAAUCAAAUCCUAAACAAAUAUCAACCAAAUCCUAAUCAAAUCUUAAAUAAAUCCUAUUCAAAUCCUAGACAAAUCUUAAAUAAGCCUUAUUAAAUCCUAGUCAAAUCAUGGUCAAAUCCUAAUCAAAUCUUAUACAAAUCCUAAUCAAAUCUUAAUCAAAUCUUAAUCAAAUCCUAAAAAAAUCUUAAAUAAGUCCUAAAUAAAUCCUAAUAAAAUUCUAAUGAAAUUUUAGUAAAAUUUUAAUCAAAUAUUAAAUACAUCUUAAUCAAACCUUAAAUAAAUCUUAGUCAAAUCUUAAAUAAAUCCUAUUCAAAUCCUUUAUAAAUCUUAAAUAAAUCUUAAAUAAGCCUUAAAUAAACUUAAUCAAACUCAAGUCAAAUUCUAAUCAAAUCCUAAUCAAAUCCUAAUAUAAUCUCAAUUAAUCCUAAAUAAAUCUUAAAUAAGCCCUAGAUAAAUCCUAAUCAAAUUUUAAUCAAAUUCUAAUCAAAUCCUAAAUAAAUUCUAGACAAACCUUAAAUAAGCCCUAACCAAAUUAUAAACAAAUAUUAAUAAAAUCCUAGAUAAAUCCUAACCAAAUCCUAAUCUAAAUCAUAUCCUAAAUCAAAUCCUAAUCCUAAUCAAAUCUUUAAUCAAAUCUAAAAUUCUAAUCCUAAUUCUAACCAAAUCUUAAUCUAAAUCAUAUCCUAAUCCUAACCUAAACCAAAUCCUAUUCCUAAUCAAAUCUUAAAUCAAAUCCAAAAUCCUAAACUUAAUCCUAAUCAAAUCUUAAAUCAAAUCCAAAAUCCUAAUCUUAAUCCUAAACUAAAUUCUAAUCAAUCCCAAGUAAUUCCUAUAAUAGAUUUAAAUCCCAAUAAUUAAUGAAUGAAUCAUUGAUUUUAAUUCAAAUUUUGUACACC